rfam:Thermodesulfovibrio yellowstonii DSM 11347, complete genome.
GCGGGUGUAGCUCAGCUGGUAGAGCACAACCUUGCCAAGGUUGGGGUCGCGGGUUCAAAUCCCGUCGCCCGCU